GGGGAGGCUCCCAAGGCGGGGCCAUACCAAUGGAGCGUACCAUUUUUUUUAAUUAGGGGGGAAACUGCGAAACAAGCCGGAACAGAUGGAGAGAUAGAGUGAUCUUGAUAGGCUAUACCUCCCUCGCAGCUCAGGUGGAAGAGGAAUGCUGCAAGUCCAUCAAACAGUAGAGGAGGAGAAAAGAGGCCUUGAAGAAUAUAUAAGGGACAGUGAAGAAGAUGCACUUCAAAUGGUCAAGAACGCGAAACUAUUCAACACCAAUGAAACAAAACAGGCCUACAAGAAAGAACAAGUCAAGAACCGAGCAGAAAAAUGGAGAAAUAAGCCCCUGCAUGGUCAAUAUUUACACAAUAUAAGUGGAAAAUCAGACAUCACCAAGACCUGGCAAUGGCUUAAGAAUGGCAACUUGAAGAAAGAAACAGAGGGUUUAAUACUGGCUGCACAAGAACAGGCACUAAGAACACAUGCAAUAAGAGCAAAAGUCGAAAAAUCCACAACAAACUGCAAGUGCCGCCUUUGUAAAGAAGCAGAUGAAACAGUGGACCACCUGAUCAGCUGUUGUAAAAAGAUCGCACAGACUGACUACAAACAAAGGCAUGACGAGGUAGCAGGGAUGAUACACUGGAACAUCUGCAAAAAAUACAAGCUACCUUUAGCCAAGAAUUGGUGGGACCAUAAAAUUGAAAAAGCUGAAGAAAAUGAAGAUGUAAAAAUAUUAUGGGACUUCCAACUACAAACAGAGAAACAUCUGCCACACAAUACACCAGAUAUCACUGUAGUUGCGAAGAAAGAAAAACAAGUCAAAAUAAUCGACAUAGCAAUACCAGGGGAUAGCAGAAUAGAAGAAAAAGAAAUAUUAAAAAAUCACCAAAUACAAAGAUCUACAAAUUGAAAUUGAAAGGCUGUGGCAGAAGAAGACCAAAAUAAUCCCAGUUGUAAUUGGCGCCCUGGGUGCAGUUCCAAAAGACCUUGAAGAGCACCUCAACACCAUAGGGGCCACAGAAAUCACCAUCAGCCAAUUACAAAAAGCAGCUUUACUGGGAACAGCCUAUAUUCUGCGACGAUAUCUAUAACCAUUGACAAUAAAAUUCUGGCAUCCCAGGUCCUUGGGAAGGACUCGAUGUCUGGAUAAAACAAACCAGUCAAUAAGACCCGUCUGACUGUGUAAACAAGAAAUAAUAAUAUGUCUCUGAUCUCCUCCCUCCCCUUCUGUGUUGAGAAGCUCCAGUUAUUUUGUAAGCAAGUGGAAGAGGAGGGAGGUGUGGGGUUUGGGAUCUGUGGGUGGAAAGGAGGGGAAAGCCAAGAUUUCUCCCUGCCUGUUUCUAUCUCUGAGGCGAAAGGAUGGAGGAAACAAGCAGGGGUGGGGGCAAAGAACUGUUCACACUGUAAAACGCUACAACGAAUAAAAUGAGGGGCAAGGCUUCCUACAACGGAAAAAUGUAGUUACUUUCCUGCAGUGCAUUUACAAUUUUGUAGGGCAAAAACGCAUCAUUAAAAUUCGAAUCAAGGCAUGGGAAAUGUGAACGCAUUCUGCUGACAACGUAGCAACACCGAUGUGGAAACACAGGCAAUAUGGAGGGGCACUUAGAGGAUAUGGUGUGAGUAUGUUGCAGUGUGUAAUCUGGAAAAUGCCCUGGAGAUGUAUGCCAGGGACUGAAUCUUGUACAUGUGUGUGUAUUGUAGUAGUAGUAGUAGCUAUAUUAAUGGGAUAGAUUCUACUUCCUUAGAACUAGAAGUGUUUGUGUAAGUUGGCAGCAAUAACAAAAGGUUAUUGAGUUGCGGAAGGGUUGGGGACAGAUUAGCUUUUACUGGCUUUCAUGAUUUCAGCCUGGGAUAGGGUUCUAUGUUUGAACAUUCUUCCCUGCACAUCUUCAAUACAAAUACAAGCAGUAGCUUCCCCCUGCACAUAGAAAUAUAAUGUGCCAUGAAGAAUGCUGGGUUGAACUUUUCUCCUUACACAGUACUUUCCUGUAUGCCACAAACAUCAUAUUUUUAGAGGGAAGCAUUUAGGGGAAAUAUGAGAAAGCAAUUCAGUGGUGCACUUCAGCACAACAUUUGCCACUUGAAAUGGACUUGAGGGGGCAAGGAGGCAUCAGAAUAGCUUUCACCUGAUAAUCCCCCCACCCCACUGCCCCCUUUAAAAAAUCUGUAGAAACUACUGGUGGAGAGUUCAGUACACACUGUAAACUACAUAUUUGGGGCUAUGAACCAAUCCAAACCUCUAAACACACUCACCUCCAGAGUCAUAUUUUUAUUAUUAAGCUAGGUAGUGAUGGACAAAACAGGUGUGCUUUCUUUAGGGGAGGAAAAGCUACAAAUACUGUUCAUCAAUUCCAGAUAAACCCAUUUCCAAGACUGACCUACCAGGAAAGCUGCAUGACGAAUCAUUGGGACCUCACCAGCCUGAUCUACGGAUCACACAAAAAGAGACUGGACGCACACAUAGAUUCUCAAACACAUGGUACUCCAAAACAAAGUGGCUAUGUGGCUGCCCGAUUAAAAAUCCUUUCCUCCCCCA